AGAGUUUGAUCAUGGCUCAGAUUGAACGCUGGCGGCAUGCUUUACACAUGCAAGUCGAACGGUAACGCGGGGGCAACCCUGGCGACGAGUGGCGAACGGGUGAGUAAUACAUCGGAACGUGUCCUGAGGUGGGGGAUAACCUGGCGAAAGCCAAGCUAAUACCGCAUACGCUCGGGAGAGGAAAGCGGGGGAUCGGAAACGACCUCGCGUCGCAGGAGCGGCCGAUGUCCGAUUAGCUAGUUGGUGGGGUAAAGGCUUACCAAGGCGACGAUCGGUAGCUGGUCUGAGAGGAUGAUCAGCCACACUGGGACUGAGACACGGCCCAGACUCCUACGGGAGGCAGCAGUGGGGAAUUUUGGACAAUGGGGGCAACCCUGAUCCAGCCAUGCCGCGUGAGUGAAGAAGGCCUUCGGGUUGUAAAGCUCUUUCGGUGGGAACGAAACGGUUAUCCCUAACACGGGUGACUACUGACGGUACUCACAGAAGAAGCACCGGCUAACUACGUGCCAGCAGCCGCGGUAAUACGUAGGGUGCGAGCGUUAAUCGGAAUUACUGGGCGUAAAGCGUGCGCAGGCGGUGGCUCAAGCCAGGCGUGAAAUCCCCGGGCUUAACCUGGGAAUGGCGUUUGGGACUGGGUCGCUAGAGUGUGGCAGAGGGAGGUGGAAUUCCACGUGUAGCAGUGAAAUGCGUAGAGAUGUGGAGGAACACCGAUGGCGAAGGCAGCCUCCUGGGCCAGCACUGACGCUCAUGCACGAAAGCGUGGGGAGCAAACAGGAUUAGAUACCCUUGUAGUCC
rnacentral:rRNA from 1 species